CCGCGUCCCCAAGUCAGGCGUGAAU
rnacentral:rRNA from 1 species